CAAUUAGAUGCCACUGGAUCCGAAUCAUGAUUUCAUCAACGACCAUAGGAAUGGAAACCAAUUGAGAUUUGUUAGUAGCGAUGAUGAGCAAGAGUAGAUUGGGGGAAACCGAUAUCCAAGAUGAUCUUGAAAGCUUGGGAUGAAUGGCCAUAAAUCCAGCCUUUCUUUACUUUGCCCGUGGCAUGGACUCGAGGUGAAUUCCUGAGUUGAAAGUUUGCCGAUCUCACUUGAGGUAACAUCAUCACUGCUACAAGUAUAAUCUCUUUUGCUCAUUGAGGCUCCCAAUUGACCCUAUAAUGAAAAAUAUCACAAUUAAAUAAAAAUGACUCUAAGUGAGAUUCGUAUUUACUCAAACUUGCUCGAACUUUUCAUCUACGAAGUUCCCAACUUUUAGGAUUUUAUUAACAUAGACUUUGUAAUAUAGUUAGCCCAACAGUUAUCGAGAAUUUCCAUCUAUGGUCUCUUUUCAUUUAACGUACGGUUCAGAAAAACAGUUGCGAUGGAGACAACUUCGUACUGGUUUUGCAACAACUGUAAUAUAUACUAUACAAAUUAAUUAAUCAAAAAAUGAAAGUGAAAAGAUAAUGUAAAUUUAUUUUUUACAAUGAUACACAAUUUUAAGCAAAGGGCUAACACAAUUCUCUUCAAUUUUUGCUAUUAACACUUGGAAAACACACUCAUAUUUCGUAUGUAGUUCACUUACUAGGUUGGUUAGUUAAAUAGACCAUUCAACUUCCCACUAAGCCAAAAGGUUCCAUAAUCCAAGUACUCAGCAACCGUUCGGGUUAUGUGUCAUUCUUGUGCUUGUUUUUCCUAUUGAAAUAUGGACGUUUUUUUAUUAGAUUUUGAUAGAAGUUGAUGAAAUGUCUGGUUGAAAAGUUAUGGGUUAUAUGAUUCAACUAAAUAGGGACUGCAAAUCUUUGUUUACCAUCACUUAGCCAACAUUUAGUUUCAAACUAACUUUGUUUCUUUUGAACAACAUUGCAGUCUGGUGGGAGUUUGACUUGUUAUAAAAUUUAUGCCCGCAACCUUCGGCCCUCUAUAUCGGAGUAAUUUCGUCCAAGAAACGUUAUCAUCAAGUAAAUCAGCAUUGCAUGUCUCAUUCCCCCGCCGAAUGCAUGCACCAAGUGAUCGUUCAUUUAUUGCCGGCGCGCUAUCUUGCUUAAGUCCUUGUCGAAUGCACACAUCUCUUGGCCGAUGUUGGAAUCAAAAAGUAUUUUUACGAGUUUCAUAUUCAUAUAUUUGGUAAAAACAUGUAUUGAUGGUUCAGUCGAACAUUAGUGUUGUCGAAUUCUUGUGGAGUAUUAAAAAUCCUAGUAAUAAUCGAUAUCCAAGAUGAUCGUGGAAGCUCUGCCUUUCUCUAUUUUAGGGAGGCAUGGACUCAUUGGGCUAGCUCACGGUGAGGAUUUUGAGUAGGCUCAAUAUUGACCAUGUAAUGGAAAAU
rnacentral:lncRNA from 1 species